rnacentral:lncRNA from 12 species
UUUCCCAAGUCUUAUGAAUCCAAACUGAUGCUGGAUGUAACAGUGUUUUGUAAGUCGUUGAGUGCUGUAUAUACAGAACUAUAAAGUCUGUGGAUUAUUAUGUUCGGGAUAGUUUGAUCUAACUGCACUUACUCCUUUUAACUUCCAGGCUGCUUGGGCAAAUAUUAAGAAAAACCUAGAGGAUAGCCACAUUUCUGAAAUAAACUAGAGAGAGUAGUAGUCAUCAAGGUAGGUCAUGAGUCAUAGUUGCAUCAUCAUGAAGACUUGGCAGACCUGUUUUCUAAGAAUGUUGAGUUGAUGACAUCAAUGGCUCCAACUAGUGGCUUCCCUGGAUCCACAUCUAUUACGAUUGACUUUGCCUCUCUUACAACCAAGGUGCACAGUCUAUAGUCUCAACCCCUGAAUUCAUACUGGCUUUGUGACUUGUGUUGACAAAUAGAAUGCAGUUGAGGUGCUCAUUCUAAGUCUAGGCCUUAGAAGGUCCUCCAUUCUCUCUUUCACUUCUUUACCGUCGCUGUGCAGGACAUGCCUACACAACCCUGAGAACAAGCCCGGGCUCGUCUGCCAGAACAGGAAAGAAAAGCCUGCAGGACCAUUUGAACAAUCGAUACAGAAGUCGGAGAUGAAGUUCCAAGACUUCGUGUUUGGAGAUGGAACAGUUUGGAGGCUGUAACUUUAGACUUAUUGCCAAGGACAAUUGCUGAAACUUUCUGCAUAGAACUAGACAGAGGUAAUUCCCCUUCCCUCCAG